rnacentral:rRNA from 1 species
AACGAACGCUGGCGGCGUGCUUAAGACAUGCAAGUCGAACGGAAAGGCCUGGUAACUUCGGUUAUCGGGCACUCGAGUGGCGCACGGGUGAGUAACGCGUGGGUAAACUGCCUUCGGGUCUGGGACAACCCCGGGAAACUGGGGCUAAUACCGGAUGAGACCACAGCGUCUUCGGACGCAGUGGAAAAGAUGGCCUCUCGUAGAAGCUAUAGCCUGAUGAUGUGCCCGCGUCCCAUUAGCUUGUUGGUGAGGUAACGGCUCACCAAGGCAUCGAUGGGUAGCUGGUCUGAGAGGAUGAUCAGCCACACUGGAACUGAGACACGGUCCAGACUCCUACGGGAGGCAGCAGUCGGGAAUCUUGGGCAAUGGGCGAAAGCCUGACCCAGCAACGCCGCGUGUGUGAAGAAGGCCUUCGGGUUGUAAAGCACUUUCACCCGUGAAGAUGAUGACGGUAGCGGGAGAAGAAGCCCCGGCUAACUCCGUG